rnacentral:miRNA from 12 species
AUAGUGUGUGUGUGUGUGUGUGUGUGUGUGUAUAUGUAUGUAUAUAUAUAUACACACACACACACUAUUAUAUAUAUAUAUAUA